GACGAACGCUGGCGGCGUGCCUAAUACAUGCAAGUAGAACGCUGAAGGAGGAGCUUGCUUCUCUGGAUGAGUUGCGAACGGGCGAGUAACGCGUAGGUAACCUGCCUGGUAGCGGGGGAUAACUAUUGGAGACGAUAGCUAAUACCGCAUAAUAGUAGAUGUUGCAUGACAUUUACUUAAAAGGUGCAAUUUCAUCACUACCAGAUGGACCUGCGUUGUAUUAGCUAGUUGGUGGGGUAACGGCUCACCAAGGCGACGAUACAUAGCCGACCUGAGAGGGGUGUCGGCCAAACUGGGACUGAGACACGGCCCAGACUCCUACGGGAGGCAGCAGUAGGGAAUCUUCGGCAAUGGACGAAAGUCUGACCGAGAAACGCCGCGGGAGUGAAGAAGGGUUUCGGAUCGUAAAGCUCGGUUGUAAGAGAAGAACGAGUGUGAGAGUGGAAAGUUCACACUGUGACGGUAUCUUACCAGAAAGGGACGGCUAACUACGUG
rnacentral:rRNA from 1 species